CUUGUUUUUGAGCAGAGGGCAGCCCUCCUACUGGAGGAGGAGGAGGAGCGGGGAGGAUGUGACAGAUUCUGGUUGCCUGGAGAACAGGAAUCUCCACCAGGGCGUCAAACUUACUGCAAGUGCGCCACGGUCUGACGGAGCUCCUCUAUUUCAUCGUCAAACGAGGGGAUGGCACGGACAGCUGUUCUGCUCUCUGCCACAUGGAGGAUGUUCAGAGAGGAUGGAGGAGGGCUGGGAGCAGCGUUGAAGCUCAUCAGACCGUCUCCUCUUGAACGGACAUUGUUGGCAGGCAGAAUUCCGCUCCUCCUUGUGAGGCGGUGGAGGCAAAUCAGAAGAACCUCUGGGCGAUGAAUUUCCAAAAGAAGCACUUCCAUCACCGGGGACCAGGUUGGUGGACUCCUCUGCUGAUGUGAGAGUGAAAAUCGAGGAGUGCUGGUUCUUCUGCUGCUGUGGACGGGCUGCUCCUUCAGGGUCUUGAUCUCCUCCUGGGCAUUGACCGUCUUCUUCUUCUCUGCAGCCAGGUACCUCUGGAAGCUGUUGUUGCUCAGCUGUAUGCUAUGCUCCAGCUCCUUCACAAACACAAAACUAACUUGCUCGUGCCUGCUCCUCCUCGAGCCUGCGACUCAGCUCCUCCUUGGCUCCUAACUCCCGCUGGUUGACCAGUUUCUUUAGACGCAUGACUGUGGCCUGACUUCUUUGCAGCUGCUCCUCGCUGUACUUCAGCC